rnacentral:rRNA from 1 species
GAUGAACGCUGGCGGCGUGCCUAAUACAUGCAAGUCGAGCGAACGGACGAGAAGCUUGCUUCUCUGAUGUUAGCGGCGGACGGGUGAGUAACACGUGGAUAACCUACCUAUAAGACUGGGAUAACUUCGGGAAACCGGAGCUAAUACCGGAUAAUAUUUUGAACCGCAUGGUUCAAAAGUGAAAGACGGUCUUGCUGUCACUUAUAGAUGUAUCCGCGCUGCAUUAGCUAGUUGGUAAGGUAACGGCUUACCAAGGCAACGAUGCAUAGCCGACCUGAGAGGGUGAUCGGACACACUGGAACUGAGACACGGUCCAGACUCCUACGGGAGGCAGCAGUAGGGAAUCUUCCGCAAUGGGCGAAAGCCUGACGGAGCAACGCCGCGUGAGUGAUGAAGGUCUUCGGAUCGUAAAACUCUGUUAUUAGGGAAGAACAUAUGUGUAAGUAACUGUGCACAUCUUGACGGUACCUAAUCAGAAAGCCACGGCUAACUACGUG